ACCUAAACCGGAUUGAAGGGGAAAGCCCACAGGUGAGGUACGAGCCGAGGACUUGUACCGGAAAGCCGGACUACCU
rnacentral:sRNA from 1 species